rnacentral:rRNA from 1 species
UACGGGGGGGCAAGCGUUGUUCGGAAUUACUGGGCGUAAAGGGCGCGUAGGCGGUCUGUUAAGUCGGAUGUGAAAACUCUGGGCUCAACCCAGAGCCUGCAUCCGAAACUGGCAGGCUAGAGUUCUGGAGGGGGUAGCGGAAUUCCUGGUGUAGCGGUGAAAUGCGUAGAUAUCAGGAGGAACACCGGUGGCGAAGGCGGCUACCUGGACAGAAACUGACGCUGAGGCGCGAAAGCUAGGGGAGCAAACAGG